rnacentral:rRNA from 1 species
UACGUAGGGGGCAAGCGUUGUCCGGAAUCAUUGGGCGUAAAGCGCGCGUAGGUGGCCACAUAAGUCCGUUGUGAAAGUCAAAGGCUCAACCUUUGAAAGCCGAUGGAUACUGUGUGGCUAGAGUACGGAAGAGGCGAGUGGAAUUCCUGGUGUAGCGGUGGAAUGCGCAGAUAUCAGGAGGAACACCAAGUAGCGAAGGCAGCUCGCUGGGACGUUACUGACACUGGAGGC